rnacentral:rRNA from 1 species
UACGUAGGGUGCAAGCGUUAAUCGGAAUUACUGGGCGUAAAGCGUGCGCAGGCGGUCUUGCAAGACAGAUGUGAAAUCCCCGGGCUCAACCUGGGAACUGCAUUUGUGACUGCAAGGCUGGAGUGCGGCAGAGGGGGAUGGAAUUCCGCGUGUAGCAGUGAAAUGCGUAGAUAUGCGGAGGAACACCGAUGGCGAAGGCAAUCCCCUGGGCCUGCACUGACGCUCAUGCACGAAAGCGUGGG